AGCGAACGCUGGCGGCAUGCCUAACACAUGCGAGUCGCACGGGGGGGCUUCGGCCUCCCAGUGGCGGACGGGUGAGGAACGCGUAGGGACCUGUCGAGGGGUGGGGGAUAACCGCGGGAAACUGCGGCUAAUACCGCAUGACGCCGCGGCGUGACAGCCGGGGCCAAAGGCGAAAGCCGCCCGCCGAGGGGCCUGCGUCCGAUUAGCUGGUUGGCGGGGUAGCGGCCCACCAAGGCGUCGAUCGGUAGCUGGUCUGAGAGGGUGAUCAGCCACACCGGGACUGAGACACGGCCCGGACUCCUACGGGAGGCAGCAGUGGGGAAUAUUGGACAAUGGGCGCAAGCCUGGUCCAGCAAUGCCGCGUGGGUGAAGAAGGUCUUCGGAUUGUAAAGCCCUUUCGGCGGGGACGAUGGUGACGGUACCCGCAGAAGAAGCCCCGGCUAACUUCGUG
rnacentral:rRNA from 1 species